UAUUAAAAAUUUCAUCCAUUUUUACUAUUAAAAAUCAAUGUGGCUAAUAAAACAACUAGAUAGGUGUACCUUAUGCUAAUGUAUAAUGACCAAUUUUUAAUAGUAAAAAUAUAUGAAAUUUUUAAUC
rfam:Gossypium arboreum cultivar AKA8401 contig_27565_5, whole genome shotgun sequence.